rnacentral:rRNA from 1 species
CACGUAGGGCGCGAGCGUUGUCCGGAAUUAUUGGGCGUAAAGAGCUCGUAGGCGGCCUGUUGCGUCCGUUGUGAAAGCCCGGGGCUUAACCCCCGGGUCGGCAGUGGAUACGGGCAGGCUAGAGGUAGGUAGGGGAGAAUGGAAUUCCCGGUGUAGCGGUGAAAUGCGCAGAUAUCGGGAGGAACACCGGUGGCGAAGGCGGUUCUCUGGGCCUUACCUGACGCUGAGGAGCGAAAGCGUGGGGAGCGAACAGG